rfam:Oesophagostomum dentatum strain OD-Hann O_dentatum-1.0_Cont9414.1, whole genome shotgun sequence.
GUUCAUUCCUGAAUAUGUACUAAAAUUGGAACAAUACAGGGAAGAUCAGCAUGGCCCCGGCGUAGGUAUGCCACGCAAAUUCGUGAAGCGUUCCAAAAUUUU